UAUCCAAACAUGAGAAGAAGUCACUUUAUAUCCUGCUGUAUCACUGGGAAUUACACAGAUGUCAGCAGCAGUAAGAGCAAACACGAGAUGUGGGGAAUUUGGCUUUUAGACCCUCUUCAGCCUGAAUGGAUUCCAGCCCAAUGUUACUUCCCAGGCAACACUCCAUUCAACAUUCUGAAAAAGCAUAAAGUACAAGACUCCUCUGAAUGCUCAAUACCAUACUGAAUCUCCCCCUUCUCCCCGUCCCAUGGCUCUCGCUCUCUUAUUGCACAACACUGGACGAUGGUUAGAGCACUCCCUCAUGAAGCAUAGGUUUUGCCCUCUCAGACAGGGAUGGCUAUGGAAACCAGCUUUUCCACUUUAUGUGUGAGUAGUGUAAGGAACAUGCUAUUAAAAAGGGUGU